ensembl:snRNA U6 U6 spliceosomal RNA
GUGCUUGCUUCAGCCGCACAUAUACUAAAAUUGGAACGAUACAGAGAAGAUUAGCCUGGUCCCUGUGCAAGCAUGACAUGCAAAUUCACGAAGUGUCCCACAUUUUU